UAAGCGACUAAGCGUACACGGUGGAUGCCCUGGCAGUCAGAGGCGAUGAAGGACGUGCUAAUCUGCGAUAAGCGUCGGUAAGGUGAUAUGAACCGUUAUAACCGGCGAUUUCCGAAUGGGGAAACCCAGUGUGUUUCGACACACUAUCAUUAACUGAAUCCAUAGGUUAAUGAGGCGAACCGGGGGAACUGAAACAUCUAAGUACCCCGAGGAAAAGAAAUCAACCGAGAUUCCCCCAGUAGCGGCGAGCGAACGGGGAGCAGCCCAGAGCCUGAAUCAGUGUGUGUGUUAGUGGAAGCGUCUGGAAAGGCGCGCGAUACAGGGUGACAGCCCCGUACACAAAAAUGCACAUACUGUGAGCUCGAUGAGUAGGGCGGGACACGUGGUAUCCUGUCUGAAUAUGGGGGGACCAUCCUCCAAGGCUAAAUACUCCUGACUGACCGAUAGUGAACCAGUACCGUGAGGGAAAGGCGAAAAGAACCCCGGCGAGGGGAGUGAAAAAGAACCUGAAACCGUGUACGUACAAGCAGUGGGAGCACAGAGCAAUCUGUGUGACUGCGUACCUUUUGUAUAAUGGGUCAGCGACUUAUAUUCUGUAGCAAGGUUAACCGAAUAGGGGAGCCGAAGGGAAACCGAGUCUUAACUGGGCGUUAAGUUGCAGGGUAUAGACCCGAAACCCGGUGAUCUAGCCAUGGGCAGGUUGAAGGUUGGGUAACACUAACUGGAGGACCGAACCGACUAAUGUUGAAAAAUUAGCGGAUGACUUGUGGCUGGGGGUGAAAGGCCAAUCAAACCGGGAGAUAGCUGGUUCUCCCCGAAAGCUAUUUAGGUAGCGCCUCGUGAAUUCAUCUCCGGGGGUAGAGCACUGUUUCGGCAAGGGGGUCAUCCCGACUUACCAACCCGAUGCAAACUGCGAAUACCGGAGAAUGUUAUCACGGGAGACACACGGCGGGUGCUAACGUCCGUCGUGAAGAGGGAAACAACCCAGACCGCCAGCUAAGGUCCCAAAGUCAUGGUUAAGUGGGAAACGAUGUGGGAAGGCCCAGACAGCCAGGAUGUUGGCUUAGAAGCAGCCAUCAUUUAAAGAAAGCGUAAUAGCUCACUGGUCGAGUCGGUCUGCGCGGAAGAUGUAACGGGGCUAAACCAUGCACCGAAGCUGCGGCAGCGACGCUUAUGCGUUGUUGGGUAGGGGAGCGUUCUGUAAGCCUGCGAAGGUGUGCUGUGAGGCAUGCUGGAGGUAUCAGAAGUGCGAAUGCUGACAUAAGUAACGAUAAAGCGGGUGAAAAGCCCGCUCGCCGGAAGACCAAGGGUUCCUGUCCAACGUUAAUCGGGGCAGGGUGAGUCGACCCCUAAGGCGAGGCCGAAAGGCGUAGUCGAUGGGAAACAGGUUAAUAUUCCUGUACUUGGUGUUACUGCGAAGGGGGGACGGAGAAGGCUAUGUUGGCCGGGCGACGGUUGUCCCGGUUUAAGCGUGUAGGCUGGUUUUCCAGGCAAAUCCGGAAAAUCAAGGCUGAGGCGUGAUGACGAGGCACUACGGUGCUGAAGCAACAAAUGCCCUGCUUCCAGGAAAAGCCUCUAAGCAUCAGGUAACAUCAAAUCGUACCCCAAACCGACACAGGUGGUCAGGUAGAGAAUACCAAGGCGCUUGAGAGAACUCGGGUGAAGGAACUAGGCAAAAUGGUGCCGUAACUUCGGGAGAAGGCACGCUGAUAUGUAGGUGAAGUCCCUCGCGGAUGGAGCUGAAAUCAGUCGAAGAUACCAGCUGGCUGCAACUGUUUAUUAAAAACACAGCACUGUGCAAACACGAAAGUGGACGUAUACGGUGUGACGCCUGCCCGGUGCCGGAAGGUUAAUUGAUGGGGUUAGCGCAAGCGAAGCUCUUGAUCGAAGCCCCGGUAAACGGCGGCCGUAACUAUAACGGUCCUAAGGUAGCGAAAUUCCUUGUCGGGUAAGUUCCGACCUGCACGAAUGGCGUAAUGAUGGCCAGGCUGUCUCCACCCGAGACUCAGUGAAAUUGAACUCGCUGUGAAGAUGCAGUGUACCCGCGGCAAGACGGAAAGACCCCGUGAACCUUUACUAUAGCUUGACACUGAACAUUGAGCCUUGAUGUGUAGGAUAGGUGGGAGGCUUUGAAGUGUGGACGCCAGUCUGCAUGGAGCCGACCUUGAAAUACCACCCUUUAAUGUUUGAUGUUCUAACGUGGACCCGUAAUCCGGGUUGCGGACAGUGUCUGGUGGGUAGUUUGACUGGGGCGGUCUCCUCCUAAAGAGUAACGGAGGAGCACGAAGGUUGGCUAAUCCUGGUCGGACAUCAGGAGGUUAGUGCAAUGGCAUAAGCCAGCUUGACUGCGAGCGUGACGGCGCGAGCAGGUGCGAAAGCAGGUCAUAGUGAUCCGGUGGUUCUGAAUGGAAGGGCCAUCGCUCAACGGAUAAAAGGUACUCCGGGGAUAACAGGCUGAUACCGCCCAAGAGUUCAUAUCGACGGCGGUGUUUGGCACCUCGAUGUCGGCUCAUCACAUCCUGGGGCUGAAGUAGGUCCCAAGGGUAUGGCUGUUCGCCAUUUAAAGUGGUACGCGAGCUGGGUUUAGAACGUCGUGAGACAGUUCGGUCCCUAUCUGCCGUGGGCGCUGGAGAAUUGAGGGGGGCUGUUCCUAGUACGAGAGGACCGGAGUGGACGCAUCACUGGUGUUCGGGUUGUCAUGCCAAUGGCACUGCCCGGUAGCUAAAUGCGGAAGAGAUAAGUGCUGAAAGCAUCUAAGCACGAAACUUGCCCCGAGAUGAGUUCUCCCUGACUCCUUGAGAGUCCUGAAGGAACGUUGAAGACGACGACGUUGAUAGGCCGGGUGUGUAAGCGCAGCGAUGCGUUGAGCUAACCGGUACUAAUGAACCGUGAGGCUUAACCU
rnacentral:rRNA from 1 species